rnacentral:rRNA from 1 species
AACGAACGCUGGCGGCAGGCCUAACACAUGCAAGUCGAACGCAUCGCAAGAUGAGUGGCAGACGGGUGAGUAACGCGUGGGAACCUUCCCAGUGGUGCGGAAUAGCUCAGGGAAACUUGAGCUAAUACCGGAUAAGCCCUUAUGGGGAAAGAUUUAUCGCCGAAGGAUCGGCCCGCGUCCGAUUAGCUAGUUGGUGAGGUAACGGCUCACCAAGGCGACGAUCGGUAGCUGGUCUGAGAGGAUGAUCAGCCACACUGGGACUGAGACACGGCCCAGACUCCUACGGGAGGCAGCAGUGGGGAAUAUUGGACAAUGGGGGCAACCCUGAUCCAGCCAUGCCGCGUGAGUGAUGAAGGCCCUAGGGUUGUAAAGCUCUUUCGGCGGGGACGAUAAUGACGGUACCGCAGAAGAAGCCCGGCUAACUUCGUGCCAGCAGCCGCGGUAAGUCUCGCGUGA